AAAAACCUAUAUUGUAAUUUCAUGAAAUUAGAAAAAAAGGAAUUAGCUGAUUUUUAAGCAGUCAGUGAAAAUAUUGAAAGUUAAUGAAAAGCAGAAUCGAAAGAAGGAAGUGGGAUUCCAAGCAAUGAGUUAUAGAAGGGAUCACCGCUCUUCAAAAGCAACUCUAUUUGGUGGUUUUGAUAAGCUUGAAGAAGGUGGUCUCAGGACUUCUUCAUCUUUCUCUCACGAAAUUAGGGAGCAUGACAAUGACAAAGCUAUAGACAACUUGCAAGACAGAGUUGCUUUUCUGAAAAGAUUAACGGGUGAUAUACAUGAUGAGGUGGAGAGCCAUAACUGUUUGCUCGACCGAAUGGGCAAUGGCAUGGAUGCUACAAGGGGUAUUAUGUCAGGCACUAUGGAUCGGUUCAAGAAGGUGUUUGAGAAGAAGUCCAAUCGGAGAAUGUGUACUCUGGUGGUGGGCUUUGUGGCUUUCUUCUUAAUUAUAUACUAUCUCAUUAGGUACUGAAGUUUGUUUUUUGGCCAAGAUGGUACUGAAGUUGAUUGCAUGAUUAGCUGAACCUACUUGUCUCUAAUUGUAGUUAGUCAGCAAUGAAAUUCAGGAGUUGGAAUAUUCUAUUUUCAAGUGAUUAAAGGCAUUCUUUAAAUGUUGCGUGAUCUGAGCAGUUGUCAAGUGACAUGAUACCAUCCUCUCCACAAAACUUCUUGUAACAUUGUUAUCUAAUUAAUUAUGACCAGAUAUGUGCCCAAACAAGAGUCAUCAAUUAUGCACAAAAUCACAAAGAAACUAGUUUUUCUUCUUGUGUUGGACUUGAUCGUAAAUGCCUCUUUGUAAAAGUGCUAACUGAAGAGAGCUCAAGACUAUUGAGGGCCUAACCACUUUCUGUUCUGAUAAUCCAUAAGGCUUUGCUUGCUAAGAAGGAAAGAAAGAGGUAUGUCCGUGGUUGGAGAAACCACUAAAUUCUUAAAGUUGGAACAUAUACAGAAUUGAAUAUCAGUCAAGGCACGAAAAUCCUAUUCUUUUCUUGAGUAUCUGGUACUGCUCGUCUGUGUGCUGAGAUGGCCACCCAUUCGUAAGUAAGAAAUUCUGAAUUGCUAAUGGCCUGACUGAAGGCGGGCGGGCCACCUUUGAAUGUUGUAGCGUUGAUUUCGGCAAACAGUUUUUUGAAGCGAAAAAUGUGAAUGAAACAGAGGAAAAGAAAGGAUUGGAAUUUAGAUAGUGUACUAUAGUAACAUAUAAGAACAUGUUAUCAUGUUAACAUGAAAAAGAAAAUUUUAAAUAUGAUGAACAAUUUUGUAAACAUGUAAUACAUGCUGAU